UCAGACGGACUACUUGUUUCUAUUUCUCUCAGGAAAGAAACAGAAGUUUCGAGUACCCCUUCUAAAGAUCAAGGUCGCUACACACGGUGGAAAUCUCUCGGUCUCUCUCCCAACGCGAGAGGCGGUUUCCAGGCGGGCUGCCUCCACUGGUCUCCAUCGCCUCCGGUAAGCCGUCGGGCUCUCGGAGGUGUGCGGGACAGUGUACGACCGCGAGGCGGUUGUAGAUAAUGUUGUUUUAGAAUUUUAUUCUGGCACUGGCGGGCAGGUAGGGGCGACGUCAACGCUGUGGGAUAAGGUUCCCCCUGGCUCCUUUCCCGUCUCCGCGGUGAUCCCUCCGGCCGGUGGCACUGCGGGGUUAGGGAGGUUGGCCUCUCUCUUAUCCGGCGAGGUUUGGUCGGUGAUGGGGGUGCACAAUAGUAUAGAAGUUGGGAUUUGUGGAGAGGGAUUCCCAGAUCAGGUCGCCUCGGACGGCCGACAGCUGCGCACUGUUGCGGGCGAAGUGGUUUGAGUUGCGGCUCCACUCCGUCAUAGGCUGCCGCUGGUCAAGGGAUCACUUGGUCUACCCCAGGCCGAUGCACCAGAACCCUCCCUGGUUCCGUCUUUUGGGGAGGGACUUAUAUGCGGCUCACAAAGCCAUGGAUUGGCGAUGCUGCUCCUCAUGCCCGUUGUCUUGUGGAUGACGGCUAGCACCGGCGAGUGCAGAGAUCAGCGUGCCUGGGUGAAUAAGGAAGAUGAACUGGGCUGUAAGUUACUUUGUUUUCUCUGUCGGCGUUAUUCCCUUUAGUGUUAUCUCUGCCUCUCUAGUUCUCAACCUCCAACGACAUGCCCUUUUUUGUGCUGGCCAUGGAGGCUAGCAGCGGCAGGACUGCCAUGACUAGGCCGCGCAAUAUUUCUAACAGUGUUGAGCUACUCGUUCCCGACAGCUCCGGUGCCAAGCUGCCAAGCAGGUAUGUGUGUGAUGGAUCUUUUAAUUUUAAGUUUGCUUCCUGUUCGAUUAGGUGCAUAUUUCGCAAGAUAAUGUUGUUCUAUCAUGUCUCUGAUUUUGAUUUCGAUUUUGAUUUUUCCUGCAGAUUUCAGGAUAUAGAAGGCAGCUUCAGGAAGGGGUCGCUGACGAGGUGAGACCAUUGCGUCUAUUCUUGUGUUAGUUUGUUUCAAAGAAAUCACACUAAUUUCUCUCAGUAUACUCUGCAGAGAAAUAAGUACUGAAGCAGGCUUCACCGAAGACUACUGAUCUAGAAUUGUUUGUUGCUGAAAUAAGUCCAGGAGCGGUGGAGCAGGCUGAACAAUUUUCUGUUGAUUUUACUGAAUGGAUUGUCCCUGUAAUUUGACCAAACGUCAUGUCGCCGUGCCACUGAAGUUUUUGCACAGAAUUCUUGUCUUUUUGGGUGGUGCCAAGCUGUCUUUUUGUUGAACAAUGCCACAAUUGCAUAGUUGUAAGUUAUUUAGGAUUGUCUCUAUUGCAUACGACCUGGAGUUACAAGAGGUCCAGUACUAAUUUUGUGUAUGUAUGUACAUGUGCAGUCACCCAUUUUCUAUACACAAGAUUCCAAAGCAUCUUUUACUGUACAUUUUGUUUCUUUUCUCGGUACAAAAUGUAUUGCAAGUGUUGUUCAUUUUUUCCCUUCUCUAAAUAUACUAGAGACCCUCUAAGGGCUCAGUUUUCUUCCCGUUUGUCUGAAUAUACCCAGAUUUAUUUUGUGUGUGCGUAUUUAACAAAGCAUUUAGUUA
rnacentral:lncRNA from 1 species